CAGGACAGAUUUUUUUUAACGUCUUGAAUCUUAAACUCUGUGCUUGUAGGAGACUGUAACCUUUUGUCUUUUUCUUUUUUUUUUUUCUUUUUUUAAACAAACAGCCUCCACCUCCAAUGGCUGUGACUGGUCCCAGUGAUUGUACCUUAUUGGUUGCUGUGGGUCUGGGCGGGCCUGGAGCCAGAAGGCGACUACUGUUCCUCCCUGGUGCCACCCCAGGUGGGGAGGGAGGUUUCAGACUCCAGUUCCUCUCCCUUGCCCUCUUAUCCCCAUGCCUCCUUGGGCCCAGUAGAAGCAGCAGGGACCCUUUGCAGCUUCCUGAGCUCUUCCUGAAGAUGGCCGCCUAGCACUGGCUGGGGACGGGCUGAAUCAGUGGGCACCAGCCACACCUAGUUGCUGAGGCCUGAAAGCCAGGCCGCCUCUGGCCACAGGGGCCAUUUCGUGCCCUCCCGACUGAGGGGUGGCUGUUUUGCCUUGUCUGUCAGUGCAGUGCCUGUGCUAGAGGUGGAGAGGUGAGUCCUUCCGGCGGCUGGGCAGCCUCCCACCUGCUCUGGCCCCUCUGCUCCUGCUCUCGCUGUACCUUUUCUUAUUCUGGUGGAUCCUUCCUCCCCUAAUUAAAGUCUCUUCUUGCCCCUUUGGGGCUGCAUGAGGUCUGUGCUCUGUGUUUACAUGUAAUGGAUGGGAGAAGGGGCUUUUUCUUCCCCAAGACCAUGUGGCUAGUACUUGGGCCCACCAGAGACCGUCUUGUGAUUAGUCCCUGGCAUCCCUGCCAAGGGCUCCAUCGCAGAGACCCUCAUUGAAGUCAGGCAUCAUUCAUUCCUGAAACUGCUGUCUAUACAGGGCUUUUAAUGCUUUUCACAUAAUGAUCUCAUUUGAACUAAAAGGUGACUUCCAAGAAACAGCAUUCCCUUUUCAUGGAUAAAGAAACAUGUUUUGUGAGAUGCAGUGCCUUGUCCCAAAUCUCCCAGCCGAUGAACAGAAAAGUAUUAGACUUCAAAUUCAAUACUUCUCCUCUUCCUCUGCUGUUCAAUACUGUAGCCACUAGCCCAGUAUGGGUAUUUAAACUAAUUAAAAUAAAGUUAAAAAUUCAGUUCCUUAGUUCUGCUAGCCACAUUUCUAAAGCUUAAAAGCCACCAGUGGCUAAAGGCUUCCCUAUCAGCACAUUUAGAGAACAUUUCCAUCAUUGCAGAAGACCUGUGUGAGGCCUCUAAAAGGGAAAAACAAAAACAACACUUGGGUUUGAGUCCUGGCUCUUGUUGCUGAAUGUGAGCAAGUUAUUUUUAUCCGGUGCCUCAGUUUCUUCCUUUAAAAGUAGAGCUAAUAAAUGUAAAGUCUGGCUCACAAGCACUUAGUAGAUAGGUGUUCUUUCCAGUAGCUCAGGGUCUGAGGAUAACUGCAUGCUAGGCAUGGGGGAGGACAUCAUCCCUGCCUUGAGGAGACUUGGGGGAUAACAGGAGAGCUGGGCAUGGGAAAGGGCAGGUGUGGCUGAAGGGUUUCAUAUGCUCCCAUGAGUCUGUAGAGACAUGGGGUCAGGGAUGUCAGGAAAGCCUCAAAAACUGAGCUUCAGAAAGAGGUUUCCCCAGAUGGACAAAGCGGUCCUCUUUUGAAGGGAGGGCAAGUUAUGUUGAAGGGAGGAGGGGCAAGGGGAUGGGGGCAACUCACACAGCUUUCAUCCCCUUUGUGACAUUAUCUCUGUGACCUCCCUCUCUAGCCUUGCAGAAGUGGGUGUGCCCUCCUCUUAGGCAUAUAACUUGUGGCUCUACAGGAUGCUCACAGAGAAGCUGGAUGUUCGCUAGGGUAUGGCAUCGGGUCACUCAACAACCCCCACAAGACAGCAUUGCCCGGGUGAGCUGGCCAGUACCCUCAGUUGUCACCAAUCCCUUUCCCAGGGGCCGAAGUCCCUAAACUCCAAGUUGCAGGCUGGGUGAUAGCUGAUCAGCCCAUCCUGUCCUGGUGGUCUGCUUCUUGGGAAGCCCAGCCAGCAGCCAAGGGGGUUAGGAAGGGUGAGCUCAGUGGCAGGGCUCAUCUUGCCAACUGGGUGGGGGACCCACCUGCUCAGUAACUGGCAAUGCUUGGUUCUUAGACCAGGGUACAGGGUACUGUGUUCCCUGGACUCUGCUUGGAUGGCUACUGCUAGCAUGUGCCCCUCAAACUGCCCUGUUGGGUACUUCCAUGACCACCGUGCACUCUUUCUGAGUGACAACUGUCCAGCAAACAAGUGGGAGUUUUGGAAUCACAUCUAGGUUCCAGUGCUGCCCUGCUGUAUGAUUUGGGGCAAAUUAUUUGACAUCUUGGAAUCCUGUUUUUCUCACAGGUAAAUUGAGGCUAAUACUUUGCUAUUUCCUCCAAUAGGGUUAUACUUAACAGUCUCGGCUGGAGGGCUGUGCAUAACUGUAUUUUGAUGUAUUUAUUCCAUGGUUGACAGUGAUUUUUCUAUUUCCAAGUUAUAGGAGGGGUGAGAGGUAGAGUUUGUACCUUAUCAAUGUUGCCCCUAUAUACUGUCCUGGCUCUCAGAUCUAUCCCCAAGCCCCAGCCCUGCCGAAUCUGGUCCUGCCUCACCAGGCUUCAGCCACUCUGGCCAUGUUUCAGUUCCCCAAAAAGGUUCUUACCCUCAGGGCUGUUGCUGAGACUGUUCCUUUCUGCCGGGAAUACUGUUUCUUCCCUCUUCCCCUGGCUGACUGCACUCUGUAGGCUUCAGCUGAAAUGUCAUCCUUGCCCACCUUAUCUAAAGUGGGCCUCCUUCCUGAUUUCAGCUCAUUGCUUGUUCAUUAUUCUCAUCAAAACUGUAGCUGUUCCAUUCUUUUGUUUACUUGCUUUGUUUGUUUCUCCCGCUGGGCCUCAAGCUGCAGAGGUUAGAAACUGUCUCUUGCUUGUUCCCAGAGUCCGGAGGGCGUAGCCCAGUGACUAGCACGUGUUCCUCUAUAAAUACUGUGAAAUGACUAAAGCUUGCAUGGCUUUUGGCACUCAGGAAGCGCUUGCUAAGGGAACUGUAACACAUAUUAAGUGGCAACCCAGUCCUCUGAGCCUCCACCUGCGCAUAAAGGGACUGGAGUAGGUGAGACCCUGAGCCCGGUCCGCUGGACGGAGCCCUCGCUUGACGGCCCAUGUCUGCCCCGGAACCCGCAUCCAGAUGGCUGAUUGUGCCCCGGGAAUGGUUGCUUAGGAGACAGCAAACAGAGGGCGGGGCCUUGGAAUGGAGGGCCCGGCUCCGGCUUCCGCAGGGCCCUCGGGGAAAGGCGGGGGCGCGCGCGGAGGGGUGGCGGGUGCAGGGGCGCUGGGAGCGCGCGCGCGGCGAGGGACGCAUGGAGGGCCCCAGCGUGGCGCUGCUCCUGGGCGCGGGGGAGCUGGGGGCCAGGAGCCGGAGCUCCGCUGCCUGGUACUGCCAGGAGGGCGAACCGGUGUGCAGCUGGCCGCGGAAGCCACAGCCGGCUGAGCUACGCACCAGUGCCCCCGUAUUGUGGCCCUGGGCGCGCCACUCCGGCUUCGCGCUGCCCGGGACGCUGCCACGGCCGGGGCCUGUCUCCGCCCGGUCCGACAAAGCCAGAGAAGGCGGCAAACGCCGGGCGGACAGCCCAGCCUCCUCGAGCCGCCCGGGCAACGCCUUCACCAAGCUCACCUGCGGCGGCCGCGCCCCGGAAGCCGCGGUUCCGCUCCCCCUCGGCUCCCCGUUCAUCCACGCCCUGGAUGAGCCCCCGCCACAGGAAGGUGAGGCCCAGAGGGGCCCGCCCCGCCACCCACCCCGAGGGAGCAGGAGACUCUGGCCAGUGGCCGCUGCGAAGGACGACAAGACAUUGGGGUGGAAGGAAUGGGGGUCUGGAGAAGAGACUCAGACAGGGUGGGCGGAUGAAGGGUGGAAGAAGAGAAGGGGGCGUGGGAUUCAGAGGUUGGGAAAGACCCCCAGGCCAAGGCCUAGCUACCUCCCUCUCUCCACCCCCACCCCCCAUCUCCCUGCAGGCUCCCUUGUCCUCUGGCAAGGAUUCUCCAAGGUGUCUCACCACAUGGGCCGGCUCAGAAACGCCAAGAUCCACGUGGAGAGAGCUGUCAAGCAGAAGAAGGUCUUUAUGAUCCAAGGCCGCUACCCAGUGAUCCGGUGCCUCUUGCAGCGGAGGGGCUGGGUGGAGAAGAAGAUAGUUCAUCACAUGGACACCACCCUGCCACUGCCCCAGAAGGAUCUGGAUAGCUCAAUGGUGGGCGAUAGUGACACCACUGAGGAUGAGGAGGAGGAGGAUGACGAGGAGUUCCAGCCUCCACAGCUGCUCAACUUGGAUGGUUUACUGGAAUUUGGCGACCUGGAUGGGACACAUGCUCUGAUGUCCCGCAUGGUGCGGAAUGAGACCCCUUACUUCAUCUGGACCACUCGGCGGGAUGUGAUGGAUUGUCGCUUCCUCUCCAAGGACCAAAUGAUAAACCACUAUGCCCGGGCCGGCUCCUUUACGACAAAGGUGGGUCUGUGUAUGAAUCUCCGGAAUUUGCCCUGGUUUGACGAGGCUGAUGCAGAUUCCUUCUUCCCACGCUGCUACCGCCUGGGGGCUGAGGAUGACAAACGAGCUUUCAUAGAGGACUUCUGGCUGACAGCUGCCCGCAACGUUCUCAAGCUGGUGGUGAAGUCAAGAUGGAAGCCGUACUCUAUCCAGGCAAAAGAAGAAAAGGCCCCAGGAAACAAGCAGCAAAAGAAACAGGACAAAAAAACAGUGACAGUGUCUGCAGAGUUUGUGGAUGAGGCUCUGUGUGCGUGUCAGGAGCACCUCAGCAAUCUGGCCCACCUGGACAUUGACAGGGAUCUGGAGGCCCCACUCUACCUCAGUCCCGAGGGCUGGUCCCUCUUCCUCCAGCGCUACUACCAAGUGGUCCAUGAGGGGGCAGAACUCAAGCACGUGGACACUCAGGUCCAGCGCUGUGAGGACAUCCUGCAGCAACUGCGGGCCGUGGUGCCCCAGAUCGACAUGGAAGGCGAUCGCAAUAUCUGGAUUGUGAAGCCGGGAGCCAAGUCCCGCGGACGAGGUAUUAUGUGCAUGGACCACCUGGAGGAGAUGCUAAAACUGGUGGAUGGCAACCCUCUGGUGAUAAAGGAUGGCAAGUGGGUGGUGCAGAAGUAUAUUGAGCGGCCUCUGCUCAUCUUUGGCACCAAAUUUGACCUGAGACAGUGGUUCCUGGUGACCGACUGGAACCCACUUACUGUAUGGUUCUACCGUGAAAGCUACAUCCGCUUCUCCACGCAGCCCUUCUCCCUGAAGAACCUGGACAACUCAGUGCACCUGUGCAACAACUCCAUCCAGAAGCACCUGGAGAACUCGUGCCACCGGCACCCGCUGCUGCCCCAAGACAACAUGUGGUCCAGCCAGAAGUUCCAGGCCCACCUGCAGGAGAUGGGGGCCCCGAAGGCUUGGUCCACUGUCAUUGUGCCUGGCAUGAAGGCCGCUGUGAUCCACGUGCUGCAGACCUCCCAGGACACCGUGCAGUGCCGGAAGGCCAGCUUCGAGCUCUACGGUGCUGACUUUGUGUUUGGGGAGGACUUCCAGCCAUGGCUGAUCGAGAUCAAUGCCAGCCCCACCAUGGCACCCUCCACGGCUGUCACCGCCCAGCUCUGUGCCGGCGUGCAGGCCGACACCCUCCGCGUGGUCAUCGACCGGCAGCAGGACCGCAACUGUGACACAGGGGCUUUCGAGCUCAUCUACAAGCAGGCCGUCGUGGAGGUGCCCCAUUAUGUGGGCAUCCGGCUCCUGGUGGAGGGCUCCACCAUCAAGAAACCCAGUGCAAUGUGUCACCGGCGGAUGGCCGUCCGUCCGUCACUCCCUCAUCUGCUCACCCAGCAAGGUUCUGGGGAGGACAAGGACUCAGGGACCCCCACCUCCAGGUCAUCUUCUAGGAAAGUGGCUGGGGCCAGGAGCCUGGGGCACAUUGAGAAGCCAGACUCUACUGCCACCGCCUCGGCCCCCGGAAAGGGGAAGAAAGGCAAGGCGAAAAGUGCCACCGCCCUGGUCCACCCUAGUCUCCAGAAGUGGGACACCCCUGCCACCAGAAUGGGCUGCGUUUUCACCACGACCUUUGCUAAUGGGGACAGGCAGUCCCACCCCUUGAACAGAUUGCCACUGAGUCCGAAGAACCCCCAGGCCCUGGCUCCUUACUGCUUCCCCAGCCUCCCCACCAAGGCCCGGCUGCCUUCUCCCCACGUGCUCCGACCGCAGGGGCGGGUCCUCAAGCUGCAGCACAGCAAGCUGGCGGGCCCUAGAGCCCUGUCGAACACAGGCAAGGCCUUGCUGACUCUACCUACCGCCAAGGUUUUGAUUGCCCUCCCGCCUACAUCUGAGGUCAAGCCCAGAGGCUGGAAGCCAGGCAAGGGGGGAACCUGUGGGACAAUGAAGCCAGCAUGCAGGGAGGAAGAACCAAGAAAUGGAGAAAGAGCUUCCUGAUGACAGCCUCUGAGCCUCCGGAUCCAGCUGUGCCUGGAUUUGUUAUUUGAGCCAAUAGGAAAACUGAAGCUCCAAAAGAAGUAACUUGUCUGCCACCAUCAGCUGGGAUCCAACCCAGGACUUCUACUCUGCUUCCAUUUCUGGCAAUAUGGUGGAAUGGAUAUUCUAAAAUCCCUCUUGCUACAAACCACCUAGAAACACUAGUUUCAGAGCUGCUUGGAUCUUCCCCUCCAAAGGAGCUGGGAUCCCAUCAGUGAUGGCACUGAGUGAAGAAAAGGGCAGGAGGCGGUCACAGAGGGGCCUGCAGGGACCUCCCCACUGCCCUGGAGUCUCCCACGAUCGCUCACCAGUAGGUGGCUGUGGGUCGCUGGUUUCUCCGUGAGUGAGCAAAGAACUUCUGGAGGCGGCUUGCAGUCUGGGGACAACUGGAGAGGAGUACAAGUCCAGAGCUCUCCCUGGAGGAAGAGGGCAAAUACGCAAGUUAAAGCCCUCGGGUUCACAUACAAAAAAAAGGGAGACCCCUAAGAAGGGGUUCAGGCCUGCUCAAGGCCAACAGUAACACCAGACUUCCUCCUGAGGAACAGAGAGGGGCUCCCUUUGUUUGAUAACAAGACUAGGUAACUUAAUAUGUUUCUUAUUAGGCCCUGGCCCCCAGGGAACUCAGAGCCAACUAUCAUAACAAUUACCACCAAUGGCUGAGUAUCUACCAUGUGCCAGGCCCUACACUAGCAAUUUUAUAUAUAUGUUUUUAUAUAUAAGUUGUACUGUACUGUAUUGUAUUUUUUAUUGUAUUGUAUUUAUUUUCUUUUUUA